GUGCCUGUGGCUCAGUGGGUAGGGCAUCAGCCCCAUAUACUGAGGGUGGCAGGUUCAAACCUGCCCUGGCCA
rnacentral:tRNA from 1 species